rnacentral:rRNA from 1 species
UAGGGAAUCUUCCACAAUGGACGCAAGUCUGAUGGAGCAACGCCGCGUGAGUGAAGAAGGCUUUCGGGUCGUAAAACUCUGUUAUUGAAGAAGAACGUGUGUGACAGUAACUGGUCAUGCAGUGACGGUAUUCAAUCAGAAAGUCACGGCUAACUACGUGCCAGCAGCCGCGGUAAUACGUAGGUGGCAAGCGUUGUCCGGAUUUAUUGGGCGUAAAGCGAGUGCAGGCGGUCUUUUAAGUCUGACGUGAAAGCCUUCGGCUUAACCGAAGAAGGGCAUCGGAAACUGGGAGACUUGAGUGCAGAAGAGGAGAGUGGAACUCCAUGUGUAGCGGUGAAAUGCGUAGAUAUAUGGAAGAACACCAGUGGCGAAGGCGGCUCUCUGGUCUGUAACUGACGCUGAGGCUCGAAAGCGUGGGUAGCAAACAGGAUUAGAUACCCUGGUAGUCCACGCCGUAACGAUGAAUAC